GUCCCAUGUUGUGUAUGAGAUUAAAAUCAUUAUUAGGUUUUAAAUAAAUUGUAAUCUCUAUUUUAACACCAUUUUAAAUCUUUCUUCCAAACUUAGCACACAUUUUUUUAUUUUCCAAACUUAGCACACAUUUUCUAAUUUAAAAAUACUAAAAAUAAUUAAUUAAAGUAUUUCAUAAAAAUAUCCAUCUUUAUCGAUGGUUCUUAAGUUUUUACCGACCAAGUGAUCUAAUCGGAGACGAUAAAGCAGCUUCACCAGAAUGAAAAAUCGGAUUACGGUGACAAUGGGGAAGGCUCGAGCUUCAAGAGUAACGAAUUGAUUUGAAAACCAUAGAGAAUGAAGAGAGUGUAGAAAAACCGGGAAGGAAGUUAGGAUGAGCGAUUACGGUGACGACGAUGCACAUAAUAGGGUUUUGUGCUGGGAUUUGGAAAUCAACAUUUCACUAUGCUGGAUUGGUUUUGCAAAUCUGAGAUUGCAAAGGGGAAAGAAGAAGCUUGGAUAGAUGACCAACUGUUCAUUACAUGGAAGGACAAAGUUAGUAACUUCCGAGAUGCUUCUUAAACUUGUAAUAAGCUUCAACGCUACUUAUGAAGUCUUGCUCACAGCCAACACUGCUUUUCAGAAGCCCAUCCCUCUAGCUAAAAUCCACCAUUUUCUGCUUGAUAUUUGGCAUGGGAAUGGUCUGUCUCACUAGGUUACACAAAGAGGUGAUUCUUAGUAUUUCUGGUACAAAAUUUAGUUGCAAGCUCUAAUGAUCAAAAUUUCAAUAUCUUUUACAAGAGACUCUGGUUUUUUAUGAACAUAGGUGUUUUUGAAAAUCUCUUCCAUGUCAAUUCACCAAAAACAAAGAAAGGAUCGAUCAUGCUUUUGUUUAAUUAUCUUAUUCUGUAAGAGAUUUUGACUAUGCCAUUUCGUUGUUCACCACCAUGUGAUGUUUUGUAUUAAAGAUUUGGAUAUUUUGCUAGGUAGCUAUGUUUUCACCGGUAAUCAUAUAAGAAGAAUCUGAAUCAAACAUUCAAGAAGGAUUCCCAAAUAUUUAGGAAGAACUGAAUGAUGUUUAAGAAAAAUCCUUUACAAUUCAGGAUGACUUUCAUUAUAUAAAAAAGUGAGCUAUUUAUCCUUUACAAGUAUAUGACCAACACUAAGCGUUAGCUAAAACACAAUAAACCAUCAUCAACAAUAUCUAACCACCAUCAUAAACAGACCAUAUCCGCUUACUAGAGAUUGUAAAAACAUUAAUUCAAAUUCAGGAAGGAUUCUCAGAUAUUUAGGAAAUACUUUUUGAAUUUUAGGAAGACAUUCAUUAAGAAAAAAUAUAUAUAAAAAGAGAUUUGUGAGUUGAUACAUUACCCCUUACUAAUAGAGUAAUCUUGUGAUAAUACAUUGGGACAAAAGAUAAUUAAAAACAUUUAAAUACAUAUUUCUCUAAGUUUAGGAAGAGGUUCAUACUGUUUAGGAAGGAUUUUAUGAUGUUUAGGAAGAUGAUAUUGAAUUUUUUGAAGGUCUUCCUAAACAUCUGAAACCAACAUCUAUGUGGCCAACUUUGGAUUAACAAUUAGUAUGUCUCUGAAAAUCGUCAAACUCUUGAUGAAUAUAACCAUUAGCUGUCGAACAUCAUGCUGCAUCACAAAUAUGUCAUAGUAGCCAAUGCACAAGGGAUAUCAGUGAGCUUUUGUUGUAACAUCUUCAUGCUUUUAACUUGGUGAUACAUGAGCCUUAACGUCUUCUAUGGGAGCAGUAAUUAAUUUCAGUUGUUACUGGAAAGCCAUCCACAUUUAGACCAAGAAUCUGGUGAAAUACUAACACAUAUAAGCAUAUAUAUCAGCCUCACAUUCAUCAAAUUAGUAGCAUCGGUAGCUUGUGAUCACAAUCAUCAUACUUUCUAGAGCUUAAAUCUUGUUCGAUUAGAGUAUCAUGAGAGAAAAAUUCAGCACCAAUCCUCACGUGUUGCCUCCUCAUCCUCAUCUGCACCUAAUGAGCUUCUCGUCUAUUCAAAUCUCUCACCUAUAGCUUCUUCUUGCCAUAACUACCCUCACCUUCUCCACAAGUACAUGAACAACACUCCCUUUUCUCUUUUUCCUUCUAACACCGAUCUCAUCGAGAAGCUCAUCCUCCGUGGUGCCACCCACGUCCUCGCCGUCGUUGUUUCUCACGAAUGCCUCCGAACUCGUCAGAUUCAAAGCAUGAAUCUAAUUUCAUCUGGUCUUACUACUCUUGCAAUAGCUUGGAUUGGUUGGUUACUAAAUUCCCAAAUCUAAGGUUCGAUCUCUCCUUGAUUUACCAAUCUCGCAGCUUCUUCAGGUCAUUAAAUCAACCAUUCCAGUUCUCUAUCUCGGGAUUGAUGUCGGCGGUUAGGACUGGCUCUUAAUUUUGGUGUGGCGAUGAAAGCUUCUAACGUUACGGUUGACGACGACAAUGACCUUCAAUGCACCGUAUAGUGAAGCUUAACUGCAAGCUUCGCCGAAGAAGAAGAAUAUGAGGAAGAAGAAGAAGAAGAUCUGAGAUAGGAAUCUUCACUGUAAGUUUCACCGGAAGCUUCACUACAAGUUUCGUCGUCGAUGGCGAAAAAGCUUUAGAUAGAUUAAUGUCUCUGUAAAAAAUUAGAAGAUAAAAUAAUAAUAUAUUUUUUAAUGCUAUUUUUGGAACUUUAGGUAAGAUGUGCUAUAUUUGUCUACAAAUCUUAGUUUAGUGCUAAUGUAGGGAAUUUCUCAUUUCAUAAAGAGUUUUGUUUUAAGUUUUUUCUUACUUUUUUAUGUUUUCUUUCACAAACAGUGUUAUUUUGUGCUUUCAGUGAUGGUUUUAAGACUAAAUCUCCUUUUCUUCUUGUUAUUUCAACUUAUUAAUUAGAAAGAUUUUUUUUUUAAAAUGUAUUUAUAGAGAUUAUUGUAGAAAUUUGUACGGGGACAUAUUAUAAACAUGUUACAUAUAGUUGGAAUGUACAAAAUUUAA